ACAUGCAGGCUCAGAGAAGAAAGUAAGCUGCCUCGGGUCACACAGCUGGCGAUGGAGUUCUGAUUUCCACCUGGAUUGUUGACAUGGAGUGCUGUGUUCAUCCUGCUGACAUGUGAGCGAACUUCUACAUAAUUCAGGACUUUUCUGCUUAAGAUGAGUGCCUUUGUGAUCGCUGGACUCGAGCCAUCUUCACCUGGGAUCCAUAAGAUGGGAGAAGUAAGAAAGAGCAAACCUAUGACUCCAGAUUACACAGUCCUCACUCUCAAGCCACACUUCCUCCACAGCAGUUUUAUUCUGUGUCCAGGAGAAAGAGACUCCACUCAAGGAGAAGAGAAGAGAAUGGUUGGCACCCCCAGCUGGCUCGUCACUGCAGCCUUGAGCUCGCCAUGCACACUCUAAGCAAAGUGUGACACCCGACUUCCACUUUAUCAUAGGCUAGUUGAUACAAAAGCAGCCAGAAAGUGGAAACUACAGCUAUUUUUAUGCCUCUGGGGAGGAGGUCACAGAAGAUGUAGCUAAGCAGGACCCGGAGCCAGCAAGAAAAGUCAGUGGUGUCAGGAGGCUGUGUUUGGACCACAUAUGAACUGGCUGCCCCUGUGGGGUCUUGGACUGUCGAGACAGACAGGAGGGCAGCAGAGUGCAGCCCCGAUGCUGGGGGCUGAGGCCCGAAAUACACAUGGGAAAGGGAGUUGGACAGCUUUGGGAGUGUGGCUCUCGAGGUUCAGGUGGCCCAGCCUAAGUGCCUCCUGCAUGAGUGACUGACUGGCUCUGUGCUGGGCAAAUUCCUCAGCAAAGUUAAUCUGUAAAAAGGAGUUGCAUACAAGUUGAGGAGAGAAUCAGGAGUCUUUUUCAGAUGUAAAUUCUGGCUGUAGAGAAGCCAAGAGAAAUCCAAGGUCUUAGGAAAAUCUGACUUUCCUUGGUCUCUGAAACUCCAGAGGCAUCUAACAACAAUUGGCCAUAACACAGCUUGCGGGCAGGCGUGCACUCUGACCUCUGUAAGAACCAUAUGUGAUGUUCAGGCUGAAGCUGAGGCAGCCUGUCUGUCCCUCAGUGGUGCUGGGCUUGGUUAGGGACCUUCAUCAUGGUGGUUCUCAUGCUAAGCAGCCAGUGAGUGCACAGGGAGACCCAGCUCCAUUACAGUCACAUUCUUAGCACUCAUCUCCAGCCCCAUGUUGUAGAAUAUGUGGCUGCUGGCUGGCCAACAAAGCCACAAAACCUUCAGCCUGCAUGGAGACCAAGCAUCCUGUAUUAAAAGACAAAGCUUUGAAAUUUUUCAAAAGGGAAACAAAACACAGGCACAAAGAACAGAAGCCAUUUUUGGAGGUUUUUAUUCCAUCAACCUGUGACUGCACUGAGAGCAUGAUUCUUAAGGCUAACUGCAUUGCUAAAGCUAUGAAGCCCUUUAGUGUUGGUAAAGCGUUGAUCUUGCCUAAUGGUAAAGACAUUUGUCGUGACUUUCAGGAGAAGCUGCAGUUCACUAAGUGGCCCAUGUUCUUAUCUGGCUAGCACCGUAACUAGGUGAUUUAAUGAAACUGCAGAGGAUAUUGAGACACAGUUGUUAGGAUUAGUAAUGUGCACUCAGGUUGACAAGUCUGCUGAUAUUGACAAGGCAACUAUGCUUGUUUUAGUGUGAUAUAUAUUUUCAGGAGGAUGUGUAUAAGCAUAUGUUAUGUGCACUUUUGUUUCCAACCAAUAUCACAGUGACAGAUCUAUUCAAAUCUAAAUAAUACAUAUCAGGAAAAGUACAUUGUUCAUUUUGCAUUGGUAUAUACAUGGCUGGAGUGGCUGUCCCAUCUGAAUGUCAGUCUGUGUACCAUGUCAUCCAUAGAGAAAUGCUGAAAAAAUGUCACUGGGACUUACCAGUGUUUUACAAGAUGUGAUUAAAAUAAUUAACCACAUUAAAGUACAUGUCCUUAACUAAUGUCUAUUUUCACAGCCCUGUGAAGAGAUUAACACAGAAUACAUAGGAUGGGAUUAAAAAGAAAAUGCUUUAUAUACAGAUGUAAGAUGACUUUCUGAAGGAUGAUUUUAAGGUAGCACUCUAGCAAGAGUUUUUGAGUUACGGGCCCCAUUCCUUAGAUUUCUUUUAGAAGGGCAGGCACCACUGGUAGCACAUCUCAGUGACACAGAAUGGGUCGCAAACCAUGCUUGUGACAUAUUUAACCUGUUCAGCGAACUUACUCUGUUACUUCAGGGAAGAGUUACAACUGUGUUGAAGUUGGCAGAUAAAACGGGAAGUUUUCAAAAGCUAACUGGAAUCAUGGGGUAAUAAGUUAACAUUAUGAUUUUCUGAAAUGUUUUAAACAUUAGCAGAGCUUUUGAAAGGAACUGAGCCAGGGACUUCUUUUUCCCAGUUGUUGCAUAAUCAUCUAUCUCAGAGUUCAAAAGAGUUUAAAGAUUAUUUCUCAACCAAAAAAGACCCUUGACCUGGGAAAAGAUGGAUCCAUCACCCGUUUGUGAAAAAGCCAGACAAAUCAACUUUGUGCCAGAGUAUAAUCAACUUUUUGAGAUUGCCGAUGAUGCUCGAGACAACUUCAAGCCUCCAUAUGAUCUGGGUUAGAGCCAAGAUGGAAUAUUCUAACAAUGCCAUAAAAGUACUGAAAGGCCGCUUCCAAUUGCAGCAUCCUGUCUUUGUGAAACAAGGGUUUCUGCACUGACAGCAAAAAAAUGAGACUACAGAGUAGACUGGACACGAGCAUCGCACUUUGGGUGUCACUGUCUCCCAUCACCCCCAGAGGGACCAAUAGUUGCAGGAAAACAAGCUCAAGGCCCCACUGCUUCUGCAUUACACUAAAUUGUAUAAUUAGUUCAUUGUAUAUUACAGUGCAAUCAUUAUAGAAAUGUAAUGUGCAGGAAAACUGACUUCCACAAUUCCACCAGUUCUGGUGUCAAAAGGGGUGGGGCUGUGCUACAAAUGUCAACUAAAUAAAAAUAACAGUGCUUUUAAUCUAUGUUCAAA